AUGGCGGUGUUGAUACAAGUUAGUGCAAUUGGUUUGAAGCUAAUCCAGUGGUCAACAGGGAUGUAUCGAUGCUGGAAUGACGCAGCUGGUUAUCUCAUCUGUUUAGCUGGAGUAGGGAGUGGAGCACGAUUCUCAGGUGCUAUAGUGACGGGAGCUGCGUUUUUUGAUUAUUGGGCGGCGUGA